GUCUGCUUCAGCAGCACAUAUACUAAAAUUGGAAUGAUACAAAGAAGAUUACCAUGGCCCCUGCUCAAGGAUGGCAUGCAAAUUUGUGAAAUGUUCCAUAUUUUU